GAUAACGGCGUCGAGCGGCGGACGGGUGAGUAAUGCCUAGGAAAUUGCCCUGAUGUGGGGGAUAACCAUUGGAAACGAUGGCUAAUACCGCAUGAUGCCUACGGGCCAAAGAGGGGGACCUUCGGGCCUCUCGCGUCAGGAUAUGCCUAGGUGGGAUUAGCUAGUUGGUGAGGUAAGGGCUCACCAAGGCGACGAUCCCUAGCUGGUCUGAGAGGAUGAUCAGCCACACUGGAACUGAGACACGGUCCAGACUCCUACGGGAGGCAGCAGUGGGGAAUAUUGCACAAUGGGCGCAAGCCUGAUGCAGCCAUGCCGCGUGUGUGAAGAAGGCCUUCGGGUUGUAAAGCACUUUCAGUCGUGAGGAAGGUAGUGUAGUUAAUAGCUGCAUU
rnacentral:rRNA from 1 species